rnacentral:rRNA from 1 species
GACGAACGCUGGCGGCGUGCUUAACACAUGCAAGUCGAACGAUGAACCCGGAGCUUGCUCCGGCGGAUUAGUGGCGAACGGGUGAGUAACACGUGAGUAACCUGCCCUUGACUCUGGGAUAACUGCUAGAAAUGGUAGCUAAUACCGGAUACGACCCUCGGUGGCAUCACCAGGGGGUGGAAAGAAUUUCGGUCAAGGAUGGACUCGCGGCCUAUCAGCUAGUUGGUGAGGUAACGGCUCACCAAGGCGACGACGGGUAGCCGGCCUGAGAGGGUGACCGGCACACUGGGACUGAGACACGGCCCAGACUCCUACGGGAGGCAGCAGUGGGGAAUAUUGCACAAUGGGCGCAAGCCUGAUGCAGCAACGCCGCGUGAGGGAUGACGGCCUUCGGGUUGUAAACCUCUUUUAGUAGGGAAGAGGCGAAAGUGACGGUACCUGCAGAAAAAGCACCGGCUAACUACGUGCCAGCCGCCGCGGUAA